rnacentral:rRNA from 1 species
GAGUUUGAUCAUGGCUCAGAUUGAACGCUGGCGGCAGGCCUAACACAUGCAAGUCGAACGGUAACAGGAAGAAGCUUGCUUCUUUGCUGACGAGUGGCGGACGGGUGAGUAAUGUCUGGGAAACUGCCUGAUGGAGGGGGAUAACUACUGGAAACGGUAGCUAAUACCGCAUAACGUCGCAAGACCAAAGAGGGGGACCUUCGGGCCUCUUGCCAUCGGAUGUGCCCAGAUGGGAUUAGCUAGUAGGUGGGGUAACGGCUCACCUAGGCGACGAUCCCUAGCUGGUCUGAGAGGAUGACCAGCCACACUGGAACUGAGACACGGUCCAGACUCCUACGGGAGGCAGCAGUGGGGAAUAUUGCACAAUGGGCGCAAGCCUGAUGCAGCCAUGCCGCGUGUAUGAAGAAGGCCUUCGGGUUGUAAAGUACUUUCAGCGGGGAGGAAGGGAGUAAAGUUAAUACCUUUGCUCAUUGACGUUACCCGCAGAAGAAGCACCGGCUAACUCCGUGCCAGCAGCCGCGGUAAUACGGAGAGUGCAAGCGUUAAUCGGGAUUACUGGGCGUAAAGCGCACGCAGGCGGUUUGUUAAGUCAGAUGUGAAAUCCCCGGGCUCAACCUGGGAACUGCAUCUGAUACUGGCAAGCUUGAGUCUCGUAGAGGGGGGUAGAAUUCCAGGUGUAGCGGUGAAAUGCGUAGAGAUCUGGAGGAAUACCGGUGGCGAAGGCGGCCCCCUGGACGGAGACUGACGCUCAGGUGCGAAAGCGUGGGGAGCAAACAGGAUUAGAUACCCUGGUAGUCCACGCCGUAAACGAUGUCGACUUGGAGGUUGUGCCCUUGAGGCGUGGCUUCCGGAGCUAACGCGUUAAGUCGACCGCCUGGGGAGUACGGCCGCAAGGUUAAAACUCAAAUGAAUUGACGGGGGCCCGCACAAGCGGUGGAGCAUGUGGUUUAAUUCGAUGCAACGCGAAGAACCUUACCUGGUCUUGACAUCCACGGAAGUUUUCAGAGAUGAGAAUGUGCCUUCGGGAACCGUGAGACAGGUGCUGCAUGGCUGUCGUCAGCUCGUGUUGUGAAAUGUUGGGUUAAGUCCCGCAACGAGCGCAACCCUUAUCCUUUGUUGCCAGCGGUCCGGCCGGGAACUCAAAGGAGACUGCCAGUGAUAAACUGGAGGAAGGUGGGGAUGACGUCAAGUCAUCAUGGCCCUUACGACCAGGGCUACACACGUGCUACAAUGGCGCAUACAAAGAGAAGCGACCUCGCGAGAGCAAGCGGACCUCAUAAAGUGCGUCGUAGUCCGGAUUGGAGUCUGCAACUCGACUCCAUGAAGUCGGAAUCGCUAGUAAUCGUGGAUCAGAAUGCCACGGUGAAUACGUUCCCGGGCCUUGUACACACCGCCCGUCACACCAUGGGAGUGGGUUGCAAAAGAAGUAGGUAGCUUAACCUUCGGGAGGGCGCUUACCACUUUGUGAUUCAUGACUGGGGUGAAGUCGAAACAAGGUA